AUGAUAGCAACGGGUUAGAAGGCGAGGGUGAGAGAUAGAAGCAGACACCGGGUCUCGGUUACCGUUCCCGACAACUAAGAGUCGAGAAUGUGGAUCAGUGACAACCCUGAGCACAAGGCAACCCUAAGCCACAAGCUAACAGUGGAGGAAGACAGAGCAUAGGUCCCUGUGACAAUGCUCAGCUACAGAAGCCUUGGCCUGCUGCAUUGGCCGAGCACAUUUGUGAUAAACUCAGAGUCACCAACACUGCAUCGGUGGCACAAUAGGAAAAGGAGUCAAAGCCUUUCCCCUUGGUGACAUUUAACCACGAGUGAGCCCAGACUUGAAUUCUCUGCUCGGCUCUUCCUGUGUCUCCUGUGUCCUCUGUCCAUCCUGAGUGCUGCCCCAUGUCUGUGCUCCUCUGUGUUUCCUAAUAAAGUGCUUUGCUCUUGCUUUUAUUGAC